rnacentral:lncRNA from 1 species
AUAUACCCCUGAAAAGUAUCUGACUUUCCGAUUUACCCCUCUUAGAAGACUAAUAUUGAAAAUACCUAUUCUACGUUCCAAUCUAUUUCGAAUUUAUCCCUAGAGUUAAAAUCUGUUAAUUAACUCUGUUAUCUUUGUAAAAUUACUAUUUUACCCUUUUAAAUAUACCCUUCCACCAUCACUGACUUUCUUAUUUGCCCUUAAAGUCAGGACACAAAAAGUAUUUUGACUUUUGGUCUUUUCCAAUAUACCCCUCUACCAUCACCAACAUUUCUUAUUUGCCCUUAAGUUAAGGGCAAAAUUGGCAUUUUAAUUUUUUUUAACUAUGGAAGAUAUUUAACUCACGUUUAACCCAAGUUACCUUAACAGGAGAUAACUGCGGGGGUAUUUUGCAAUAACGAUGGAACAUAUGAUGGGUAUUUUAGAAAGGAAAAAAAAAUAGGGAUAAAUCGGAUUUUUUCAAAUGUAUGAGGGGUAUAUAGGCAAUUAUC